GACGAACGCUGGCGGCGUGCUUAACACAUGCAAGUCGAACGGAAAGGCCCUGCUUUUGUGGGGUGCUCGAGUGGCGAACGGGUGAGUAACACGUGAGUAACCUGCCCUUGACUUUGGGAUAACUUCAGGAAACUGGGGCUAAUACCGGAUAGGAGCUCCUGCUGCAUGGUGGGGGUUGGAAAGUUUCGGCGGUUGGGGAUGGACUCGCGGCUUAUCAGCUUGUUGGUGGGGUAGUGGCUUACCAAGGCUUUGACGGGUAGCCGGCCUGAGAGGGUGACCGGCCACAUUGGGAUGGGAAUACGGCCCAGACUCCUACGGGAGGCAGCGGUGGGGAAUAUUGCACAGUGGGCGGAAGCCUGAUGCAGCAACGCCGCGUGCGGGAUGACGGCCUUCGGGUUGUAAACCGCUUUCGCCUGUGACGAAGCGUGAGUGACGGUAAUGGGUAAAGAAGCACCGGCUAACUACGUG
rnacentral:rRNA from 1 species